rnacentral:tRNA from 2 species
UGCGGUGUAGCCAAACGGUAAGGCAGCUGCCUGUUAAGCAGCCGAUUGCAGGUUCGAUUCCUGCCGCCGCAG